GGUGCUUGCACCUGGUGGCGAGUGGCGAACGGGUGAGUAAUACAUCGGAACAUGUCCUGUAGUGGGGGAUAGCCCGGCGAAAGCCGGAUUAAUACCGCAUACGAUCUACGGAUGAAAGCGGGGGACCUUCGGGCCUCGCGCUAUAGGGUUGGCCGAUGGCUGAUUAGCUAGUUGGUGGGGUAAAGGCCUACCAAGGCGACGAUCAGUAGCUGGUCUGAGAGGACGACCAGCCACACUGGGACUGAGACACGGCCCAGACUCCUACGGGAGGCAGCAGUGGGGAAUUUUGGACAAUGGGCGAAAGCCUGAUCCAGCAAUGCCGCGUGUGUGAAGAAGGCCUUCGGGUUGUAAAGCACUUUUGUCCGGAAAGAAAUCCUUGGUUCUAAUAUAGCCGGGGGAUGACGGUACCGGAAGAAUAAGCACCGGCUAACUACGUGCCAGCAGCCGCGGUAAUACGUAGGGUGCGAGCGUUAAUCGGAAUUACUGGGCGUAAAGCGUGCGCAGG
rnacentral:rRNA from 1 species